rnacentral:rRNA from 1 species
UAGGACGUUGAUAGGUUGGAUGUGGAAGCAUAGUGAUAUGUGAAGCUGACCAAUACUAAUUGCUCGUGAGGCUUGACUAU